rnacentral:lncRNA from 1 species
CAGACAUGGAGAGACACAGACACACGCGGAGAAGACCAUGUGACAACACAGGCAGAGAUGGGCGUGGUGCGUCUACACAGCAAGGGCUGUUCAAGGGUUGCUGGCAGCCAUCAGAAGCUAAGGGGUCACCUGCUUCUGGAACGUACAUUGGUAAUACAGCGUCUUCCACUCCAGAAUUCAAGUGGAAGGCUCAUUAAAGGUUACAGUUGUAUUGUGAAUUUGUGGAUGUUCAGCAGUUCAACUGUGUAA